rnacentral:rRNA from 1 species
UACGAAGGGGGCAAGCGUUGUUCGGAAUUACUGGGCGUAAAGGGCGCGUAGGCGGUGCACUAAGUCAGGCGUGAAAGCCCUGGGCUCAACCCGGGAAUUGCGCUUGAUACUGGUGCGCUCGAAUCCAGGAGAGGUUGGUGGAAUUCCCAGUGUAGAGGUGAACUUCGUAGAUAUCGGGAGGAACACCAGUGGCGAAGGCGGCGACCUGGGCCAAUAUUGACGCUGAGGCUCGAAAGCGUGGGGAGCAAACAGG